rnacentral:rRNA from 1 species
UGUGUGACGAGAACGGACGGUAGCACAGGAAUAAGUCUCGGCUAACUACGUGCCAGCAGCCGCGGUAAAACGUAGGAGGCGAGCGUUAUCCGGAGUUACUGGGCGUAAAGCGCGUGCAGGCGGUAUGGUAAGUCUGUUAUGAAAGCUCCUGGCUAAACUGGGAGAGGUUGACGGAAACUGCCGUACUAGAGUGGAGAAGAGGUAAACGGAAUUCCGCGUGUAGUGGUGAAAUGCGUAGAUAUGCGGAAGAACACCAGUGGCGAAGGCGGUUUACUGGUCUCCAACUGACGCUCAGACGCGAAAGCAAGGGUAGCGAACGGGAUUAGAAACCCCGGUAGUCCAUGCCGUAAACGAUGCACACUAAACGUCCGCGAUCCGCGAGGGUUGUGGGUGUUGUAGCUAACGCGAUAAGUGUGCCGCCUGGGGAGUACGGUCGCAAGGCUAAAACUCAAAGGAAUUGACGGGGGCCCGCACAAGCAGCGGAGCGUGUGGUUUAAUUCGAGGCUACGCGAAGAACCUUACCCGGGUUUGACAUAUACGUAGUAGGGACCUGAAAGGGAACCGAGUCUUCGGACAGCGUAUACAGGUGCUGCAUGGCUGUCGUCAGCUCGUGCCGUGAGGUGUUCGGUUAAGUCCGCAAACGAGCGCAACCCCUAUCGUUAGUUACAAGUGUCUAGCGAGACUGCCCGUGACAAACGGGAGGAAGGUGGGGAUGACGUCAAGUCAGCAUGGCCUUUAUAUCCGGGGCUACACACACGCUACAAUGGCGCGUACAAUAGGUUGCGAACCCGCGAGGGGGAGCCAAUCCUGUAAAGCGCGUCUCAGUUCGGAUUGCAGGCUGCAACUCGCCUGCAUGAAGUCGGAGUUGCUAGUAACCGCAGAUCAGCUACGCUGCGGUGAAUACGUUCCCGGGCCU